GUAGGGUCGAAACGUUGCAUUUUGCAUAAAAUUAUUGAAGCAUAAAGCAGUGUUGCGGACAUUAGAUGUUUUCGCUUUAGUAUUUUUCAUUUGUCCUGCACCUGCCAGAGGGCGGUGUUUGUGUUUCUGUG